GAUGAACGCUGGCGGCGUGCCUAAUACAUGCAAGUCGAGCGAACAGACGAGAGUGCUUGCACUCUCUGACGUUAGCGGCGGACGGGUGAGUAACACGUGGGUAACCUACCUAUAAGACUGGGAUAACUUCGGGAAACCGGAGCUAAUACCGGAUAAUAUUUAGCUUCGCAUGAAGCAAUAGUGAAAGACGGUUCUGCUGUCACUUAUAGAUGGACCCGCGGUGUAUUAGCUAGUUGGUGAGGUAACGGCUCACCAAGGCAACGAUACAUAGCCGACCUGAGAGGGUGAUCGGCCACACUGGGACUGAGACACGGCCCAGACUCCUACGGGAGGCAGCAGUAGGGAAUCUUCCGCAAUGGACGAAAGUCUGACGGAGCAAUGCCGCGUGAGUGAAGAAGGUUUUCGGAUCGUAAAACUCUGUUGUAAGGGAAGAACAAGUACGUUAGUAACUGAACGUACCUUGACGGUACCCUACCAGAAAGCCACGGCUAACUACGUG
rnacentral:rRNA from 1 species